CCAAAAGAGUGCUUUAUUACUGCCUCACUCUUCCUGGAGGUGGUCAGCAAGUACCUCCCCUCCCAGUCUGUGAAAUGCUGACAAAUGAACACUCCAUUCCACCAAUCACAUUCUGGCUAAUGCAGUUCCUCCGCAAACUGUCACAGUACACUCAAAUAAAAGUACAUCAGGUAGAAACAGACUACAGCUGGGCCCUGCUCCAAAGUGUUCUCCUUUCUUUUAACAAAGAGAGCAUUGUCAGUUACUUGGACAGGGCUUUCGCUAUCUGUUCAAAGCUGAAGUCAUGGAAGGAAAUCAAAAUGUUGACAGUGCUACACAUUUGCUCUGCACACGUGCUGAAAGCUGUAGCUCAGUCAAUUGGGAGAAGGACUGCAGACAAGGGUUUGAAGGAAUUUGCAACAUUUGCAUUUGCGAGGUUGCAAAAUGCUACUUCAAUGACCACAGCACUACACAUCUUCCGCUCACUGUGCACUGUGUUGAUUGGAAAGCACAAUUCCAAUGCUGUCCUGAUCCAUCUGAAAGCCAUGAAGGACUUCAUAAAAGAAUGCAGGAUUCCCGACAUGGAAGAGGGGGACAAGUUAGGAGACAGUCCCUUAACUCAGGAGGAAGAUGAUGAAGAAAGAAGAAAUGCCCACACAAUUGUUGGCAGAUCUCCCUUCACAUAUGAGUUUAGGAAGGUCAUGGAGGAGGUACAGGGAGAGCUUGAAAAAGAGGAGGUCGAAACCCCACAGGAUGAAAAUCCAUACUUUUGCCCUGGCAUUGUUGAUGUCCUUUUUGACAACUAUCUAGGGAUUUUUCCCCUUUGGAGUGGGCUGCUGUUGGGGAAUUUGAAAAGAUAUGCAACUGACACAGAGGAAGACACUUUUGGCCAAAGUAAAACAAGGGACACAAACUGCCAUGUGGAGAGAUGGUUUGGAAUAGUCAAACAUUCUAUUCUAAAAAAGCAGAGACGACUGAGGCCAGCGACAUUCAUCAGAAAGAUGUAUGGCUCUCUCCAGGGGAGGUACAGAGAACACAUAAUGGCACAUCACUUAUCUGAGCAGUUACUCCUCAAAACUUUGCUACCAAAAGACAUCAGUCAAUCGAAGGAAGGUUGGGCAAAGAGAGAUGGAGCAAAGCCUCGCACUUCCAGCUCCAAAUAUUACACCACUCCAGACAUUCUUCCAGUUCCAAAAAGAGCAAAGUUAACUCUGAACACUGGUGAAGAUAUUCAGAGCAGCACAGAUGUGGAGAACAGCAGCAACCCCACAAGUAAAGGGUCCAAGCCUGCAACAGAGGUUGAUGCCCUUUGGACAUGCAAACCAACUGAAGUUGUUGUGGCUGUUGUAAGACAUGCUGAAGAGAAGCAUAAUUUCACCCUGAGGCACAGAGAAUUUCAGUGUUUGAGACCUGACGAACUCAUCAUAGGCGAGGUAAUGGAAUGUUACAUUAGAGGCAUCCUCAACCUGAAGGAUAAUGCUGGUCGUCUAUAUCUCCUGGAUCACUACACCAUGGGUGUAAUCCUACACGGCACCCGAGAGCAGAUAGCCAGGCAAGAGCUAAAAAAGGUGACAUUUGAUCUCUAUGAUGGAGCCAUUGGAUUUGUCAAUAUAAGAAAUGUGCACUGGAAGUUUGUGUACCUCCAUGCCCUUUCAAACCACAUUUAUGUGGUUGAUCCUCUGCAAGGGUCAAAUGAAGUUGAGGACUCCAGAAAGGCUGGUUACAAAUUUGGAGAGUAUUUCAAGAUGCACCGGAACAGACUGGGAAAAGAGGACUGGGUUAACAUCAAAUGGCAGCCUGGAAAGAUAACCCACACCUUCCAGAAAGAUGCCACCAGUUGUGGAGCCUUUGUCAUGCAGAUGGCCGAGAUGACAGUGAAGGAAUUUCCCAAAAUUCCACAGACGUUUCACAUCAAGUCAUCAAAACAAUGUCUUCAACAUCUACGAAGGGACAUGGCAGAAUAAAUUCUCAAAGGAUCAGUUUCAAAGGAUGACUUCUGUUCCUUCUGUGGGAUUGAGGACCUGCCCACAACUGCUGUUGAUGCUGUUUGGAUUCAGUGUGAAACUUGUGGAAGAUGGUUUCACACGCAGUGCCUCGGAAUGACUGCUGCAUGAAUACCCAAAAAAAAUACCACGUGGUAUUGUGUGUUGUGUAUCCUCCCUAACUAAAGAGGCUAUAGAUGAGUUUGUGUAACUUUUACCAGAGGUACCAGGAUUUGGGGAGGUAAGGCUUGUAGUUUGAACUACUACCACAGUAGAAGUAUUGCACUUACAAACGGCAUGUGGGGGGAAAUCCAGCCCAGCCAGUGAUUUGAAAUCGGCUAAAUGAAAGCUGCAUUUUGUACAAAACAAAUAAAAAUCCAGAAAAAAGCUUUGCUAAAGAUUUUGGGCAACUGAAGUAAUGAUUAAUAUGUUACGGUGUGUGAAGCAGGUAGGACCCAAAUGCAGAUUAACGUGAAAAUUCCUUUAUUUCAAGGCUAGGAUAUA